UACGUAGGGUGCGAGCGUUGUCCGGAAUUAUUGGGCGUAAAGAGCUCGUAGGCGGUGUGUCGCGUCGGUCGUGAAAACUUGGGGCUUAACUCUGAGCUUGCGGUCGAUACGGGCAUCACUUGAGUUCGGCAGGGGAGACUGGAAUUCCUGGUGUAGCGGUGAAAUGCGCAGAUAUCAGGAGGAACACCGAUGGCGAAGGCAGGUCUCUGGGCAUUAACUGACGCUGAGGAGCGAAAGCAUGGGGAGCGAACAGG
rnacentral:rRNA from 1 species